GGGCCUGUAGCUCAACGGUCAGAGCAGGGGACUCAUAAUCCCUUGGUUGCAGGUUCGAAUCCUGCCAGGCCCACCA
rnacentral:tRNA from 1 species